GAUGAACGCUGGCGGCGUGCCUAAUACAUGCAAGUCGAGCGAACGGACGAGAAGCUUGCUUUUCUGAUGUUAGCGGCGGACGGGUGAGUAACACGUGGAUAACCUACCUAUAAGACUGGGAUAACUUCGGGAAACCGGAGCUAAUAUCGGAUAAUAUUUUGAACCGCAUGGUUCAAAAGUGAAAGACGGUCUUGCUGUCACUUAUAGAUGGAUCCGCGCUGCAUUAGCUAGUUGGUAAGGUAACGGCUUACCAAGGCAACGAUGCAUAGCCGACCUGAGAGGGUGAUCGGCCACACUGGAACUGAGACACGGUCCAGACUCCUACGGGAGGCAGCAGUAGGGAAUCUUCCGCAAAGGGCGAAAGCCUGACGGAGCAACGCCGCGUGAGUGAUGAAGGUCUUCGGAUCGUAAAACUCUGUUAUUAGGGAAGAACAUAUGUGUAAGUAACUGUGCACAUCCUGACGGUACCUAAUCAGAAAGCCACGGCUAACUACGUG
rnacentral:rRNA from 1 species